rnacentral:rRNA from 1 species
AUUGAACGCUGGCGGCAGGCCUAACACAUGCAAGUCGAGCGGAUGAAGGGAGCUUGCUCCUGGAUUCAGCGGCGGACGGGUGAGUAAUGCCUAGGAAUCUGCCUGGUAGUGGGGGAUAACGUCCGGAAACGGGCGCUAAUACCGCAUACGUCCUGAGGGAGAAAGUGGGGGAUCUUCGGACCUCACGCUAUCAGAUGAGCCUAGGUCGGAUUAGCUAGUUGGUGGGGUAAAGGCCUACCAAGGCGACGAUCCGUAACUGGUCUGAGAGGAUGAUCAGUCACACUGGACCUGAGACAGGGUCCAAACUCCAACGGGAGGCAGCGGUGGGGAAUAUUGAACAAGGGGCGAAAGCCUGAUCCAGCCAGGCCGCGGGUGUGAAGAAGGCCUUCGGAUGGUAAAGCACUUUAAGUGGGAGGAAGGGCAGUAAGUUAAUACCUUGCUGUUUUGACGUUACCAACAGAAUAAGCACCGGCUAACUUCGUG